GCGUGAAUGAUGAAGGCCUUAGGGUUGUAAAGUUCUUUUAGUAGGGAAGAUAAUGACGGUACCUACAGAAAAAGCCCCGGCUAACUCCGUGCCAGCAGCCGCGGUAAGACGGAGGGGGCUAGCGUUGUUCGGAAUUACUGGGCGUAAAGAGCGCGUAGGCGGAUUAGUAAGUUGGAAGUGAAAGCCCGGGGCUUAACCUCGGAAUAGCUUUCAAAACUACUAGUCUUGAGUGUAGUAGGGGAUGAUGGAAUUCCUAGUGUAGAGGUGAAAUUCUU
rnacentral:rRNA from 1 species